AUUGAACGCUGGCGGCAUGCCUUACACAUGCAAGUCGAACGGCAGCACGGGAGCAAUCCUGGUGGCGAGUGGCGAACGGGUGAGUAAUACAUCGGAACGUGCCCAAUCGUGGGGGAUAACUAUGCGAAAGCGUAGCUAAUACCGCAUACGAUCUACGGAUGAAAGCAGGGGAGUCGCAAGACCUUGCGCGAAUGGAGCGGCCGAUGGCAGAUAGGUAGUUGGUGAGGUAAAGGCUCACCAAGCCUUCGAUCUGUAGCUGGUCUGAGAGGACGACCAGCCACACUGGGACUGAGACACGGCCCAGACUCCUACGGGAGGCAGCAGUGGGGAAUUUUGGACAAUGGGCGCAAGCCUGAUCCAGCCAUGCCGCGUGCAGGAUGAAGGCCUUCGGUUGUAAC
rnacentral:rRNA from 1 species